UACGUAGGGGGCAAGCGUUGUCCGGAAUCAUUGGGCGUAAAGAGCGUGUAGGCGGCCUGAUAAGUCGGCUGUGAAAGUCAAGGGCUCAACCCUUGAAUGCCGGCCGAUACUGUCAGGCUAGAGUCCGGAAGAGGCGAGUGGAAUCCUGGUGUAGCGGUGAAAUGCGCAGAUAUCAGGAGGAACACCUAUGGCGAAGGCGGCUCGCUGGGACGGUACUGACGCUGAGACGCGAAAGCGUGGGGAGCGAACAGG
rnacentral:rRNA from 1 species